UACGUAGGGCGCAAGCGUUGUCCGGAAUUAUUGGGCGUAAAGAGCUCGUAGGCGGUUUGUCGCGUCUGCUGUGAAAACCUGAGGCUCAACCUCGGGCUUGCAGUGGGGUACGGGCAGACUAGAGUGCGAUAGGGGUGACUGGAAUUCCUGGUGUAGCGGUGGAAUGCGCAGAUAUCAGGAGGAACACCGAGUGGCGAAGGCAGGUCACUGGGCCGCAACUGACGCUGGAGGCGACGAAAGCUAGGGGGAGC
rnacentral:rRNA from 1 species